rnacentral:tRNA from 2 species
GCGGGGUGGAGCAGCUCGGCAGCUCGCCGGGCUCAUCACCCAGAGGUGGCAGGUUCCCAUCCUGUCCCCGCUC